AAGACUAAAGAAGCCCCUGCCUUCUUGGAGCUUACAGUCUGGUCAGGAAGGCAAACAUUGAAUAAGUAAUCAUCAGUGUUAACAAGAACCACCUUCAAUGGAGAAAGCAGCCUGCUUUGGGAAUGCCUGGUAGGAAUUUAACUGCCAGAGAGGAAAGGUUUCCCAGAGGAAAUGUGAGACCUGAAAGGAACCAGGCUGAGGACGCAGCAAGCUUGGUGUGAUGCCAGAAACACAAGAGAGCAAGUGGAAGCCUGGCAUACCUCUUAAGUCCUAGUUUGAAACAGGAGUGCAACAGCCAUCUUGUGAGCAUGAAGAUGAAAGCCCCACACUGAGGAUGACAGCAUGGGAAGAUAAGACGUGCCUAGUGACAUUCCAAACCUCUGUAAAGGCCUGGGACUACCUACUUCUGAACAUCUUCUUAUGUGAGAAAAAUAAACCCACAUUUGGUUAAGUCUCCACUUGAGGUUUAAAAUAGAUAGCCAGACAAACAAACCUUGAAUUUGUUAGCUUUCAUUUACUUUAUUCUGUUCUGGUGUUUUUUUUUUUUU
rnacentral:lncRNA from 1 species